rnacentral:rRNA from 1 species
UUGGGAAUAUUGCACAAUGGACGAAAGUCUGAUGCAGCGACACCGCGUGUAGGAAGAAGCCCCUCGGGGUGUAAACUACUUUUAUAUCGGAGGAUUGUGACAGUACGAUAUGAAUAAGGCCCGGCUAACUACGUGCCAGCAGCCGCGGUAAUACGUAGGGGUCAAGCGUUAUCCGGAUUUAUUGGGCGUAAAGAGUGCGUAGGUGGUAUUGCACGUCUUGCUUUAAAGAUCACGGCUCAACCGUGGGAAUGGGCAGGAUACGGCAACACUAGAGGUUGGUAGGGGUAAGCGGAAUUGGCGGUGUAGGAGUGAAAUCCGUUGAUAUCGCUAAGAACACCAAUGGCGAAGGCAGCUUACUAUACCUUUUCUGACACUGAGGCACGAAAGCGUGGGGAGCGAACGGG